CAGGUCGGUGCCCCUAAAGCAGGGUAUCCGCUAAAGAGUGUGUAAAACUCACCUGCCGAAUACUAGGGCCCCGAAAAUGAAUGGCGCAUAUAGUACUACCGAUCUCAGACAUCAGUUCUAUUGAACUGAGAGUAGGGGGAUGUGGACAUUUUUGUGAAGGUGCAAUGUGAGUUGGACUGGAAGGAUGUCUAUUACAGAUCCUAAUUGAAGUAGCGAUUAUCCAGGCUUGUAUCCUGGGGGCUGAUGAGGAGUAGGGUUUCUGGACAACUUAAACAGAUCCAGAGUUAGUCGAUCCUAAUCUCAAUAAUGGGAGAAAGGGAGUACAGUUGAUAUUCUGUAACUGACAACAGUUCGCGGCAACGCAUACUAUUUUUCUCCGCCAAUCUUAUACCGUUGGUAGGGAUCUCUUUCCUACAUGACAGUACUAAUACCCAGGGAAACUGGUCAUCAGGCGAACUGCGGCGUUCUGCUGGCAAAACAUAGCUUCGGUUAUGUCAAUGGCUAUUGGAUUGGUCCAUGAAGCGAAAAAUAGUUUACUGUGUCACUCGUACCGAUAACCGCAUCAGGUCUUCUAGGUAAGUAGCCUAUGGCCAUUGAGGCAUGAUAGUUCAGGGAAUUCGGCCAAUUAGAGCUGUAACUUCGGGAUAAAGCUUGGCUCUGAUGAAAAUCAGAACCGAUUGUUACGCGGAGAGCCCAACUGUUUAAUAAAAACGUAGUGUCGCGCUGUGGUAGUAUAGCCAGUGAACGCGACAUGAAUCCUGCUCAGUGCUGUGUCUGUUAAUAUGGUUCAAGCCAACGAAGCACCGGUAAAUAGCUGGGGUAACUAUGACUCUUAUCAAAGUAGCGAAAUACCUCGUCACUUAAUUAGUGACCUGCAUGAACGGAGCUAUGAGGUUCUCACUGUCCCAAACUGUCUCUCAGCGAACCAACUGUAGUGGGAACGGUCACUAGAUAUCCAGCGGGGAAAGAAGACCCUGUAGAGCUUCACUUUGGUCUAGUCUUGUAUAGUUCCUGCGGGGGUGUAGACUAGGUGGGAGAGCAAUCGAU
rfam:Trichomonas vaginalis G3, whole genome shotgun sequence.